ensembl:lncRNA
CGGGCAGGAACCAAUCCCGGGCUACACUAAGUCAUGUUGGCUCAGUACAGGCUCAGGGAGUACAAGCUUAUUGCAAGCCAGUCCCCACCAUGGCCAGCACUCAGGACCACUGGAGACAUCCUACAGACCAAGAGAGGGACCAGAUCAGAUAAUGUGAGAGGGUAGACUGAGACGUCUUGGAGGGUCCCCUGCCUUUUAACUGUGAUCUUUGGGGUGAGCCAAACGAACAUAUAACAGGCAGGGCCCUGAAAACACGGAAAGUACACCAAAAAGGUUUAAUUGAAGCAAACUGAAUGAAAGAGUUACUUGCAAAAAUGGCAGGGUUAAGGGACCCAAAGAAGGAAAGUGAAGCACACAGCCCAACAACAGUGAGUGCUGACCUCCCUCAAGGUCCACAGUGUUACUGGAGUGGGAGAGAAUUGCCUGCGGAAGAGUGCACACAGAGGGAGGCCCCCACUGACCAGACUAAAGCCCGGUUGCUAAGGAAGUAAAUACCUCAGCCCUCUCCUCCCACCCUCCAACCUCCUGCCAGGGCCUUCCAUUAACUGACCCAACCGGUAGCUAGAGGUCAAGGGCAUCCAGCGAUGAAGCCCGUGCAAGGCAGCACAGCGGGACACAGAGCAGGGCAGAGAAAAGCAGAGAAUGAGUCUUGCGGCCAAACAGAAAGUUAACCAACACAUACUUCCCUCAGAGAAGACAGAAAGAUAGAAUUAUCCUAUGGCAUAGUCUGAUUGCCAAAAAGUGUUCACCAGAGGCAGAGAAUCAAAUGGAAAAGCCAUACUCCGUGAUUCUGUCCGAGAAGAUGAGCCCAGACUCUCAACAGAAGUGAUGAUGGUGCAGCGGCUAAGAGGAAGGAGCCACAGGAUAUGGCUUCAAAUACCAGUUCACUAUGGCGUGACCUUGGUGACUACAGGAGCUACUCAUGACCUUACGACAAGCGUUCUCAAAUCCUAUCCAUGAAUUCACAGUUUCUUUCUACCCUUAUUUAUCCUCUACCUCAAAUUCCUCAUCUACUUGUAACCUGGUGUAUAAUGCAUGUUUCUAUAAGCGGACUCAAAAAUUUUUUUAAUUGGAAUAAAACAGAGAAUAAAUAAG